rnacentral:lncRNA from 1 species
UGCCGCGCGGUGGCGGCGGCGGGGAGAGCAAUGGAGGCCGCGGCCGCCUGAGGGGCGGGUGCGCUGCUGGUGCUGCUGCGGAGGCUGCCGGUGCUGCGGGGCAGCCGCUGGCUGGGUCGCGUCCGCCGCCCGCGCGGGACCGCCGGUCGCCGUCCAAUCGCUCUGCCAGCCACGGAGCCAGGCGGGGACUCAGGCGUUCUUGAGAUGGUUUUCCUGGUCCUGUAACCGUCAUUUCUUGCAGAGCUCUGUAGUGGUGAGAUUGGACCUCCUAACCCUACGGAUACGACAGUAUUGCAGAAUGGCACUUUGA